AAAUAAGAAAUUUACUUUAUUUUAUGUUUAUAUUUUAAUUUAAUAAAAAUAAUUUUAAUAAUUUAUAUUUUUAGUAGAGUUUAUAGAAAAAAUUAAUUUAGUUAUAGUUUAAUUGUAUUGUAAAAGAUUAUUGAAAUAAGAUUUUAUUUUUAAAAAGUAUAAUUUAAUUUUAGUACCUUGUGUAUCAGGGUUUAUUAAAUAAAUAUUAUAAAUUUUAAUUUUCUCGAAUUUAAGAGAGCUAAUAAAUUAUUUUUUUUAUUGUAAAAAAAAUAUUUAUAAUAAUUUAUUGGUAAUGAGAUGUUAUUCGUUCUUAAAUAUAUCUAGUUUAUUUAGAAAUGAAUUUAAUUCAGAUAUUAUUAUUUUAAUAAUUUAAUUUUUUAAAUUAUUAAAUUUAUUAAUAUUAAUAAUUAAAGGGAUUAGCUUUUAAUUAAAAAUUUAAAAAUUAAUAAAAUAUUUUAAGAAAUGUAGAUUUAGAAAUAGUCAUCAAUAAUAAUUUGUUAUAAUUAAUUUAUAUAAAAAUAUUAUUUUAUAUAAUUUUAAAUUUUUUAUAAAUAAAUAAUUUUUAAUUUUAUAAAUUUAGGUAUAAUGAUAGAAUUAGUAUAUAUUUGAUUUAUUUAAAUAAUAGUUUUUGAGAGAUUAUUUAAAGGAAUUCGGCAAAAUUUUUACUCGCCUGUUUAACAAAAACAUGUCCUUUUGUAUUUUAUUUAAGGUCUAGUCUGCCCACUGAAUUUAAAUUUUAAAUGGCCGCAGUAUUUUGACUGUGCAAAGGUAGCAUAAUCAUUAGUUUUUUAAUUAAAAGCUUGUAUGAAAGGCUGGACGAGGUAAAAUCUGUCUCUAUUUAAAUUAUAAUAGAAUUUAACUUUUAAGUUAAAAGGCUUAAAUAUUAUUAAAAGACGAGAAGACCCUAUAGAUCUUUAUAAUUUAUUAAUUAAAAUUAAUUUAGAAUUAUUUAUAUUUUAUUUGAUCAAAUUAUUUUAUUGGGGUAAUAUAAAGAUUGAAUUAAUUCUUUUUUUUUAUAAACAUUAAUUUAUGAAUAUUAAAUGAUCCAGUUUUAUUGAUUAUAAGAUUAAGUUACCUUAGGGAUAACAGCGUAAUUUUUUUAGAGAGUUCAUAUCGAUAAAAAAGUUUGCGACCUCGAUGUUGGAUUAAAGAUUAUUUUAGGUGUAGAAGCUUAAUAAUUUUGGUCUGUUCGACCAUUAAAUCUUUACAUGAUCUGAGUUCAGACCGGUGUAAGCCAGGUCGGUUUCUAUCUUUAAUAAAAUAAAAUAUUUUAGUACGAAAGGACCAAAUAUUUAAUAUAAUUAUAUUUUAGUUAAUUGAAUAUUAUUAAAAUUA
rnacentral:rRNA from 1 species